rnacentral:rRNA from 1 species
UACGGGGGGAGGCAAGCGUUGUUCGGAUUUACUGGGCGUAAAGGGUGCGUAGGCGGGUCUUUUAAGUCAGGGGUGAAAUCCUGGAGCUCAACUCCAGAACUGCCUUUGAUACUGAGGAUCUUGAGUUCGGGAGAGGUGAGUGGAACUGCGAGUGUAGAGGUGAAAUUCGUAGAUAUUCGCAAGAACACCAGUGGCGAAGGCGGCUCACUGGCCCGAUACUGACGCUGAGGCACGAAAGCGUGGGGAGCAAACAGG